GCACUGCUGACGAGUCCCAAAACAAGAUGAAAUAGCUGUCCAGUGC
rnacentral:hammerhead_ribozyme from 1 species